rnacentral:tRNA from 1 species
AAAAGAAGUGUUUAAUGAUUCUGAAUAACCUAACUAACAAGGGUAGAAAAUUCGAUUUUAGUUUUGUAUAUCUUAUCUUAAUUUUUAAUUCAAUUUU